rnacentral:lncRNA from 1 species
GUUCAGUGAUUUCAUAAUUUACAGCAACCCAUCCAUCCUUUCCUGUAUCAACCAUGGCUAGCCAGUUGAGCCCACAUUAUUAAUACUCCUGUACAAAUACAACAUCCCCUAUCAUCAUCCGUACACUGUCCAAUGAAAGAAAUCAGAAGUGGGAUAAAAUUACAACACAAUAAUAAGUUGCUGAAAAGCUGGGAACGAAUGAAACUGAAGAGAAGAAGAUGAUAAUGAUGAUGUGUAAUAAUAGGGAUAGUGGCAAAGAACAGAAGUGAUUGACAGAGUAUUGCUAUUAAAGACUGCCUCUUUCGUUUUGGCUUUUUGUCAAACACUUGGUGGGGACUGAGGGAUUGGGAGCUAUUAGGACUCUCCUUUUAAGUUAGGGGAAAUGAGGACACCCAUGUACUGGAAAGCCUCUAUAAGGGGCCUAAUCACUUUGGCUAAGGGACAAAAUCCCAUGUUUUUUGUUGAAGCUCUUUAGCACAAUAGUUCAAGUUCGCUAGUCGGCCAUUAACUAUGAUUUGGACCCCACUUUAACACCUAACCAUCCUACACAAAUCCUUCUUUUUCUCCACAAACUAAUCUUUUAUUUCCAAUUUUCUGCAAUUUGAGAAAAAAAAAAAAGAAACCCACUUUUUCUCUUUUAUCGUUCUUAAAUUUUGUACCAAAUUUCUUUGAUUAUUUGCUCUUUUUCUAAUAUUAAUUUUUUGACUUGUUACACAAUCAACCUCAACACGCACCACUAACAUACCAAAUUCCUGAUUUAUAACCAUAUCUUACAUUCAUAAUCUUUUGGAGCUCGUGGUUGGACACCACUCUUCUCUUUAAACCUUUUAGCUUACCAAAUCUCUUUUCCUCUGUCUCUCUAGAGUUUCUCUGAUCUGCUCCUUCUUUUUCUCUCUUUCUUGCACUUCUAGGUUUUGGGGUUGGUGAAAUGGUUAAGAGUCAUCUAGUUCUAGUGCUCUGGCUGCUCUUACUUGCAUCUUUUGUUUCUCACUCUCAUGGGUCGAGGCAGAGUUCUCAGUUUUUCAAGAACAAGGCCGAGUCUCAGAAUCCACCACGUAACUUCUUUGGUUUCUUGCCAAAAGCAAUGCCAAUUCCCCCAUCUGGUCCUUCAAAGAACCACAAUGACAUCGGCCUACAAAGCACUAAAGCAUUGCCGUGAAGAAAAAUAUCACAGAAGCAACACGAUUCCUCUUUUAUUUCCACUUUUUAUGCAAAUUAACAUCUUUGAUCAUCAGUAUGUAUAUGGGUUUGUGGGUUUUUUUUAUAAAAAUUUUCUGGUUUUGCUCUUUUGUUGGCUCUCUCGUGAAAAAAAAGAGGGAAAGAUUGCUUAAACUGUUCAUGAGUACUUUGCUAGCUACUAGCAGAAAAUCAUGAGUUCCCCAUUUAAAAAGAAGCUUCAAGAUUGAGAGGAAAAAGAAAAUUUUGUAUAGAAAUACAAAGAAAAAUUGUAUCAAACAGGUAGCUAGGCUUUCUGGUUUUGUGUACUGAUCCUUCAUUAUAUUAAUUAUUUUUUGCCUUGUGUUUGCAAAAUUAAUCAUGGAAAUGCAUGAUAACAC